rnacentral:rRNA from 1 species
UACGUAGGGGGCAAGCGUUGUCCGGAUUCAUUGGGCGUAAAGAGCGUGUAGGCGGCCAGGUAGGUCGGUUGUGAAAACUGGAUGCUCAACCUUCAGAGGUCGACCGAAACCAUCUGGCUAGAGUCCGGGAGAGGAGAGUGGAAUUCCUGGUGUAGCGGUGAAAUGCGCAGAUAUCAGGAAGAACACCCGUGGCGAAAGCGGCUCUCUGGAACGGUACUGACGCUGAGACGCGAAAGCGUGGGGAGCGAACAGG